rnacentral:rRNA from 1 species
GAUGAACGCUGGCGGCGUGCCUAACACAUGCAAGUCGAACGGACGGACGAUAAGCUUGCUUCCUUGAUGUUAGCGGCUGGCGGGUGAGUAACGCGUGCAUCACCUACUUAUAUUUCUGGGGUAAUUACGGAAAACCGGAUAUACUACCACAGAAUAUUUUGAACCGCAGGGAUCAAAGGAGAAUGACGGCCUUGCUGUCACUUAUAGCUGGAUCCGCGCUGGAUUAGCUAGUUGGUAAGGUAACGGCUUACCAAGGCAACGAUGCGUAGCCGACCUGAGAGGGUGAUCGGCCACACUGGAACUGAGACACGGUCCAGACUCCUACGGGAGGCAGCAGUAGGGAAUCUUGCGCAAUGGGCGAAAGCCUGACGCAGCAACGCCGCGUGAGUGAUGAAGGUCUUCGGAUCGUAAAGCCCUGUUAUUAGGGAAGAACAGCUGUGUAAGUAUCCGUGGACAUCUUGACGGUACCUAAUCAGAAAGCACCGGCUAACUACGUG